AUUGAACGCUGGCGGCAUGCCUUACACAUGCAAGUCGAACGGCAGCACGGGAGCUUGCUCCUGGUGGCGAGGGGCGAACGGGUGAGUAAUACAUCGGAACGUACCCAGUAGUGGGGGAUAACGCACCGAAAGGUGCGCUAAUACCGCAUACGACCUACGGGUGAAAGCGGGGGACCGUAAGGCCUCGCGCUAUUGGAGCGGCCGAUGUCUGAUUAGCUAGUUGGCGGGGUAAAAGCCCACCAAGGCGACAAUCAGUAGCUGGUCUGAGAGGACGAUCAGCCACACUGGGACUGAGACACGGCCCAGACUCCUACGGGAGGCAGCAGUGGGGAAUUUUGGACAAUGGGGGCAACCCUGAUCCAGCAAUGCCGCGUGUGCGAAGAAGGCCUUCGGGUUGUAAAGCACUUUUGUCAGGGAAGAAAUCUUUCAGGCUAAUACCCUUGGAAGGAUGACGGUACCUGAAGAAUAAGCACCGGCUAACUACGUGCCAGCCGCCGCCGUAA
rnacentral:rRNA from 1 species